ensembl:snoRNA
CACCUUGUGUCUUUGGGACCAGUCGACUGUGGAAACCUUCCUUGCUGGCCAGGGAGCCAAUCCUGUUGAUUGGCAAAGCUGUCACCAUUUCAUUAGUAUCAAAUUCUGACCCGCAAAAAGGAACAUUC